rnacentral:rRNA from 1 species
GACGAACGCUGGCGGCGUGCUUAACACAUGCCAGUCGAACGGAAAGGCCCUGCUUUUGUGGGGUGCUCGAGUGGCGAACGGGUGAGUAACACGUGAGUAACCUGCCCUUGACUUUGGGAUAACUUCAGGAAACUGGGGCUAAUACCGGAUAGGAGCUCCUGCUGCAUGGUGGGGGUUGGAAAGUUUCGGCGGUUGGGGAUGGACUCGCGGCUUAUCAGCUUGUUGGUGGGGUAGUGGCUUACCAAGGCUUUGACGGGUAGCCGGCCUGAGAGGGUGACCGGCCACAUGGGGACUGAGAUACGGCCCAGACUCCUACGGGAGGCAGCAGUGGGGAAUAUUGCACAAUGGGCGGAAGCCUGAUGCAGCAACGCCGCGUGCGGGAUGACGGCCUUCGGGGUGUAAACCGCUUUCGCCUGUGACGAAGCGUGAGUGACGGUAAUGGGUAAAGAAGCACCGGCUAACUACGUG